UCAUUUUUAGUUGUAUUUUCCUCUUUCCCGUGUCAAUCAUAGCCUGUGUUGCCAAAUCAUAUUUAUGGAAUUUCUCGCACAGAGAUAACGUGCAAAACAGGUUUAUUUUGUUUAUGCCUGCAAUUGGAACUGGAAUGGUGGUCCCCAUCAGUUGACACCAGAUACUCCGCGAAGGAUAAUGACGUCACAGCGACUGCUUCACAUUGGAGGGGUCGGUGUGCAUACAUGUACAUAAUGAGAUUGAAGGGUGUGUGGAUAAUAUGCCAUUUACCAACUGUUUUACAGUAACUGGUCUUCGUAAGUAAAUUUCCUUCUUUUGGUACGAUCCAAAUAAAAUUCAACCAUCAACCUUUCUAUCUGUAUGCCUCGUGAAGCUGAGGUCAAUGCCCGUAAAAGGGUGACAAACCCCUUCUUAUACAGCAUGCUCCAGACUGUAACACACCUGAGAAAAGACGACAGAUGGAGUUACAAAUAGUACCACUACACACCUAGCCCCAGUAGUAUUGGAUUUGACUGAACGAAUACAAAGACCUAAAAGUUAGAAAUCUAUUACGCACUAGUUGCUUGAAAGGAGAUCAACUAUAGUUUGUUUGUUUUUUAAGAAUGCUAACACAUCGGUGUAUCAAGAUUUUGUCGCCGUUUCUUGCAAUAAUGUUAUUGCGAGGUUUUGUUGAAAGCUGUCCAAAAGCCUGCCCGAUUUGUUUCGGAGGAAUGGAGGUACAGAUUUACAUUUUUAAACAAUCUAUUUUCUAAUGAAUUAGCAGACUGGUUUAACCUAAGCGAUUAAAUAAUUCAUUAUUA